UAAUAACAAGUAUAGUAAGAGAGUUGUUAGGUUUAUACACUGUGGGCUGAAUGAUAAUAACAAGUAUAGUAAGAGAGUUGUUAGGUUUAUACACUGUGGGCUGAAUGAUAAUAACAA